GGACGAACGCUGGCGGCAUGCCUAACACAUGCAAGGUCGAACGGGGGUAGCAAUACCCUAGUGGCGAACGGGUGAGUAACACAUAAGCAAUCUGCCCUUCGACAGGGGGAUAACAGCGGGAAACUGCUGCUAAUACCGCAUAGGACCACGGUACCGCAUGGUACAGGGGUAAAAACGAAUCAGUGGUGAAGGAUGAGCUUAUGUCCCAUUAGCUAGUUGGUGAGAUAACAGCCCACCAAGGCGACGAUGGGUAGCCGACCUGAGAGGGUGAUCGGCCACACUGGAACUGAGACACGGCCCAGACUCCUACGGGAGGCAGCAGUGGGGAAUAUUGGGCAAUGGAGGAAACUUCCUUACCCAGCAAUGCCGCGUGAGUGAAGAAGGUCUUCGGAUUGUAAAGCUCUUUGAUUGGGGACGAAGAAAGUGACGGUACCCAAAGAACAAGCCCCGGCUAACUACGUGCCAGCAGCUGC
rnacentral:rRNA from 1 species